UGAAUGUGUUGUUGAAAGUGUUUUGCAUAUUAACUGAACACUGCGCUUAAAACUCCACUGAUAAUAAUUAGUCUGUGACACUGACACACACACACAGAAGAAACUAUGAUUUCUCUUAUUCUAACUCUGGGGACAUUCUGUCUGCUUGCUCAAGUGUCUCAUGAAGAGGUUCAGUCUCCUGAGUCUCUGUCUGUUAAAGCAGGAGAAUCUGUCUCUAUCAGCUGCACUGGGACCAGCGGAGUUGAUGAUGACAUGAGCUGGUAUCUGCAGAAAACUGGAGAAGCUCCUAAACUCCUGAUCCAUGACGCAAGUCAACUUGUAUCUGGAGUCUCAGAUCGAUUCAGUGGAACUUAUUCUGGAUAUGAAUUUACACUGAACAUACGUGGAGUCCAGUCUGAGGAUGCAGGAGAUUAUUACUGUAUGGGGGUUUAUACUGGCAGGUGCACACAGUGAAACAGCAUCGUACAAAAACCUCCCUCAGUCUGACAGCAAAGAGAAUAUGAGGAUACUGAGUUCACAAUAUCAGUCAGUUACGAUAUUAUCAGAUGAGUUGUGCUUAAUUAGAUUUGCAAAUAUAAAUAGUACAUACAUGACAUAAUACACAUUGAUGAAUUAAUUAGACUUUAGUUCAUUAUAAAUGAAACAUGAAAUCCAUGUGUUUGUUUCAGUAUUCACAUACUCUUUCAUUCAGCUUGUAGCAUUUUGAGCAACAAAAGUUAAAAUCUGUCCAUGACAUUUUAAUUGUAAUUUUACAUUUUAAAUUAAUUCAGCUGGAAUGUAGAGCCUACAGAGUAAGUGAAUCUUAGCCUUGGGCCAGUUAUGCUUAAAUUCAGUGGGCAGGAUCCUAAAACCUUCAAAAAGCAGCAGUAAAUGCUGACGUGAGCUUUACUAUGUGCAACAUAAAGACAACAAAUCAUAUUAUCAUAUUACACUGUUUAUAAAUAUGUGAACUCAUACCAUCAAAACACAUGAACAUUAUCUUUUAAAUUCUGUUUAAAAAUAUAGUUUUAUUUAUCAUUCAUAUCACAUUUACACAGCAAUGAAUCAAUUAAAGGAUAAUCACACAGAUGAUAAAAGGUGAGUAAUAAAAGAAUCUAUUCUUUCCUAUUUAUUUUUUAGAAAUUAGUUUAGAAAUAAGUUAAUUUAAUGUAGUGGAUCACUUGAGUUUGAUAAUCUGUUAAAGUUAGUAUUAAUAAAGAUUAAUUAUUUGGUUAAACCUACAAUUUGCUAUUUUUAAUAAUUCUGAUUUCACUGGGUUUGCUUGCACAAAGUUAAAAUUUAUUUUCUUACAUUCAGACUAAUGGCAGAAGGUCUGGGAAACAUGGACGGUUUGAAUGGCCGAGGCCAUUUGAUUGACAG